AUUAGUGCUAGUAAAAUUGUUUGCACCUCACCUUUAAUAGGAGAAGCCAAAGUAGUUUUGGAAUCCAUGAAUCUUGCAAAAAUUAUGGGAUCUGCCACUUUCUUGAUAAAAUUUGACUCCAUGCUAAUUUCUGCCCUCUCACAACCCUAAUCAAGCCCAUGGGAAAUCCAAGCCAUACUUAAAGAAAUCCUGGACCAAAUGGAGCUUUUCACACAAGUUCAAAUUUGAUGGGCUAGUAGGAAUGCUAAUUCAACAACAGCAGAUUGUUUAGCUAAACUUUAUUUUAAUGAUGCACUUUCCUGCAAUUGGUUAAUAAUGACUCUAAUGAAUUUGCACUUUAUUUUGUGAGAAAUUAUAUUAUAAAUUAGUGAUUCUACGAAAGUAGUCCUAUAUGGAAUGGCAAACCAAAUUAACGACUCUAAUGUUUUAAAAAUGCUCUUCCCCCUUCUUUUCCAUUUACGUCUCAAUCUCAAGUGUGAAGUUUGUAACUCUCAUAAGGGACUUGUGCCAUUAGAUCUGUGCUUGUUGUAAGGCUUUCCUUGUUAUGGGUGUUAUUGUGAAACUUCUUUAUUGGUGCUAUCUUAUCCUGAAUGCACACCAAGUGUUUGAUCAAAGUCCUAAGUGAUUCUGAAUGACUCUAACAGGUAGACUCUACUUUUGUAAUUGCUAGACUCUUGUGUUGUUGUGUUUCACUAUGAAGAUUCUAGUUGGACUUGCCAAUGCUUGAGCAAUCCACUUACUUUUAACCAUCUUAAAGGUAUGUCCCAGCAACAUUCUCCUACUUUUCUCUAUAUAAUGGAGAAAAAAAAAAGGAACAAAACAAGCUUUAUGAAGAAAAAACUAAGUAGAAUAGGUUUUUAACAUAUGCAUUUAAUUGAUCAUUGUGGCAUAUUUGCAGGGUUUGGGUUUGGCUUGGGAUGAUCAAUGUCAUGUUCUUGUAGUGCAUUCCACAAUCUUUUUCUUUUGCUGUCGCAUUUUUAAACCAUAUCCCCAGAAAAUUUGGGAUAUCAUAUUCUUAUCGCUAGUUGUGAGGAUAACAUUCACAAGACUUAAUUCAAUAACUGUUGCAGUAUAAAUCUUUUGUGCAUAUGGAUUGUAUUGGGGUAAGGGACUUUGGGGAUGAAUGGGGCUUAGUAGAUAUUGGUUUUCUAGGGCCUUCUACUACUUAAAACAAUAAGAGAGAUGAUAUAGAUAAUAUCCAAGAACAAUUGGAUAGAUGCUUAGCUACUUAUCAUGGCUCCUAUCUUUUCCUACAGUUACUGUUACCCAUUUGGAAGAUCAGGGAUUAGACCACAACCAUUGUUAAUCACCACUUCUCCUUACAGGCUAAAAUCCAAAGUUGAUAAACAAUGGAAGCAAAUCAUAGACAUUAAACAAAUUAUUACGAAAUCUCAGCAAACAUAACAUGCUGGUUAUAAUCUCUCUCAAGUUUUAUCUAAAUUGAAAAAAUGAAUAUAUGAUCUUACUUAGUGGUGCAAGUUGCAUAAUCAAAAUUCCCUCUCAAGUAUAAAAGAUCUUAAAUCACAAAUUGCUCAAAUCAAGUUAAAUUCCAUUGGCACUAAUGUCUCUAUGGUGAGGCAGUUAAAACCUAAUUUAGCUAGAGAAAUCCAACGUGGCUUGAAUUAGGUGACAAAAACACAUCCUUUUUCCAUGCUCAAGUUAUUCAAAGGAGAAGGAGAAUUUUAUUAAUGCUAUUUAAGACACUAACAGAGAUUGGAUUUAUGGUUGUGAUAAUGUUAAGGUUGUGGCUAUGCAGUACUACUCUAACAUUUAUAACACUACUCACACUGUCAUCAAUGAUGAUAUGUUGCACAAUUUUAGUCCAUGUGUCACAACAUAUAUGAAUAAUGAGUUGAUCAAGCCUAUCUCUAUGGCAGAGAUAAAAAAAAAAAGGCAAUUGUUUUCUACCAAUCCCUCUAAAGCUCCUAGGAUGAUAGUUUCACUGGCCUAUUCUAUCAACCUUCUUGGCACAUUCUAAAGGAAGAUUUUUAUAGCAACUGUACUUGAAUUUUUCAAUACUAGUAAAAUGCUUAGGGAUUUUAAUCAUACUUUGUUAUCUUUAAUCCCAAGGUUUAAAAUGUGCAGACUAUGAAGGAACUUCAUCUUAUUGGCUUAUUCUCAGUAUUUUAUAAGAUUAUUUCUAAGAUCUUGGUUCAUAAGUUGUAACCCUUCAUGGCCAUAUCUCACUUAUAUGAUUACUAAAUUGGGUUUUCAUUCGUGGUGUAUCUCAUGGAUCAUGGAGUGUGUUUCAUCAGUCUCUUACUCUGUUUAAUUAAAUGGACAUCAAAACAAAUUGAUUACUCCCACAAGAGGUGUUAGACAAGGUGGUCUCUUAUCUCGUUAUCUCUCUUUAUUUUGUGUAGAAGGUUUGUCUCUGUAACACCCUUCAUUCGUCUACAGUGUAGUCGAGUAAAGUGUGCUACAUUCGGUGCCGGAGCACCCUAUCUUAUCUUACUUUAUUCCUAAAUAAAUUUUUUUUCUUGCCCUUUUAAUUAA